rnacentral:lncRNA from 1 species
AUUCCUCUUUUGAAAAUAUUUUUUUCACAGUUAGGUUCACUGGGGAUACAGAAACAAAGCAAAACUGGUUUUGCACAGCAAGUUCCGGAAGCAUUUGCACAAACCUCAAAUUCUUUAGCCUUUAAUAAGAAUCUGACAUUAAAGAAUAGAACCACUUUAACACAUGAAUAUGAGCACUUACUAAUAUUUACAAGUGCUGCUCCUCCUACUACUAUUUUUUUUGUUGGCCAAGGAUGACAUCAUACUUCAAAACAACCUAAAUUCUCCUUCUAUAUUUUUUUGCACACGAAUAAAACCGAUGAAAUGGAGAUGGUAAUGACUAGCGUGAACAGUGUUACUGAGCGAUGCUUUUACAGAAAGGAAUAAAAAAGACACCUCAUUUGCCCUGCAGUCGGUGUUUUGGGGCCGGGUUCUGUAAGGACUGACAGCUCGGUGCUCAAAAAGCCGGAGCUGGAGGAUCGCACCGCCCCUGGCACUGCCCCGAGCAAACUUUCAAAUCACCGCGUUAUUAAAUGGGAUUGCAGAGAAGACUCCCGCACGCAUCCAGAUUUUGUUCGCCCCCCCCCCGAAAAAUUAACUAAAAUAAAGCUCUUGAGAAAGGCCCCUCGGCGCACUGCCCGUCUCUCCGGGGGCCGCCGCUCCCCCCGCGCUGCGGGAGCUGCCCCCGCACCUCACCGGGACCCCCGGGAGGGUUCGAACCGCCUGGAGCUCCUCAGGAGGGCUCGUCCCGGGAACCCCUCGGGUGGGUUUGAACCGCCGGGAGCCCCGCAUAGGGAAGGAAAGGGUGACCCCGGAGCCGCGUCCCCGUGUCCCCCUCCGUGCCCUGCGCCGUGAGGGGACGCGGCGGGCGGCCCCUUUCCCGCCCUUCCCCUCACGGUACCUCAUGGGGCGCCCGGCGCCUCCUGCCCGCCGCCCGCCGCCAUCGCCGGGGCCGAGGGGGUGGGAGGGAGGAAGAGGAGGAGCCGUGAGGGGAGGAGAAGGAGGAAGGAGAGGAGUGAGGAGGAGGAAGGCUCGAGCUGGGCGUUGCUCUGGCAACGUCGCGGCCUUCGCCCCGCCGCGGGUCGUGAGGAGGCUGAAAACGCUGGCUGGCUGCAUCUCUGUGUCUCUUGGAGGUAUGUUUUGAGGAGGCAAUUUGGUCUACUUUUAUGAUGUUUUUGGAAACUGUGCCUAGAAUUUCCCGACUGGAAAGUUCAGGUCACAUAUCCUCUGCUUUUUGCUCAGGCUGUG